AUAAUGCACAAAUACUUGUAUAUAAUAUAAAGUAAUAUAUAAACAGUAAACUGAAGAAAGUCAUUGUCAGUGACUCUGGGUAUCUGCUAAAGCUAGCGGCAUCACUUUACGUGCGUAUGACGUCAUGCACCGUCGACUAGGAAAUGGCUUAUACUUCCGGGUAGUAAAAAAAAAAAACCCGCUCGUGAUCUAUUUUAGACGAUGUUACCCUUUCUAAAAUCCAUACACUAGAAGGUAGAGUACACAGUGCAUAGUGUAAGUGUAUAGUACGUCGUUUGGGACACAACUUUAGUAUUUACUCUCCGAUGUGUGUUUUCAGAACAGAUGUAACGUAGUAAGUAAAAGUACCCGAUUAUUCGAUAAUGCGAUUCGUUGACAACGAUUUUCAUAAUCAAUUAUUAUCGAUUAGUUGUUGCAGCUCUAGACUCCAAGAAUGUGAUUUAAUAAAAAGAUGGAACGCUUAUUAGACACUGAUUAUACACACACUUCAAACCUGGAACUCAAUCCCAGUUCAGAAUUCAAGUUGGUAUGAAACAAAUUCAGAAUAACAGCAUUUACAAUUUAGAUUUUGUGCAUUUAAAUUCAGAUUUCUACUAGAACUCAAUUACUGCUGCUUUCCUGCCAUAUACAAGUACUGUAAGUGUUCCUUAAUUCAACGUUACACACAGCGAGAUUGAGUGUUCGAAUCUGAUUGGUUAGAAGGUGUGCACACCUUCUAACCAAUCAGAUUCGAGCAUUCAACCGCACUGUGGUAUAAUCGUAUAUCCCGUAGAUGUGGUAUAUAUCGGAGUGCGUUUCCGCCCGUGACAUGAACGACGGGUUGAUAUUAACGCGCUCUGCUCGUUCUAGUACGUUAUUCUUUCUAUAUUAACGCAGUGACUCGUACAACAGACGCUCCACAAAGCCUAAUCUUUUUUUUUUCCUUCUUCAGAUAUUUAAAAAACGUGGUGGUGUUGUUUAACAAAGUAAAACGACGUAUAAUAGUUGAUGUGGUGAUGCUUUGUAGGAGACGUUUACUUAACAUUUAUAGUAGGCGCAUCGAGUCUUGGUUGUAAACACUUUGUAACUUCCCAGCUCAGGAGUUUACGCUUUCUGGUUUCUCAGUAAAACGACAGGCUGUGUUUCGAGAGAAAGAGAUAGAGAGCGAGAGCGAGAAAGAGCGCCUGGUGAAGGAACGACGCUUUAUUGCAGCAGCUAUAAGCGAUAACAGGAACUAACUUGUAUGUCUCUCGGACAUUCCACAACAUUAAAUCACGAUAAACCAUUAAAAAGCAGGAAGCGCUGUUCAUUAAUAAAAGAAACACUGUGGUUAUUGGCAAAUCGUUUGAACGGCACGCUCCAGACCGUGCUGUCAUGUGAAAAUAAUGCACUUCCUCCUCCGGCGUGUAUUAUUAUUAUUAUUAUUAUUAUGAUAUUGCACUAGAACGGCACGACCGAGUGUUAUUCAUGCCUUACAUUUACAGGUAACUUGAAUGCUGCUUUUCUUUUGUAUAUACAGUACAUACACGCAACUCAUGCAGAAAACAGAUGCAAUGAGGGAUAUUUAAAUAAUGAUAUUCCAUGCUAAUUACUUUUCUUUCUUUUUUUUAACUAUAUGAAUUACAGAUGGAAACAAGUCCUAGGGUUAAGGGAUAAAUGAGUGAGGAGUUAAGUUAAAAUAAAAUAAAAUAAAAUAAAAUAAAAUAAAAUGGUCACACAGACUGGGGUGUUUUUUUUGUGCCUAUUUAGACUUAUAUAAAAUUGCAGAUGAGAGUAUUUCAGCACAGUAUGAGAUAAAACAAAUUUAGAGAAGCAUGUUUACUGAUGAUCUCUGGAGUCCCUGGUGCUGGGGAGUGUGAUGUUUAUGUGGCUGAAUGAUGGUGGAAGUGCUUACGUGGAGUCCUGGUUAAAGGAGGCGCAGCGCAGUGCCGGGCCGCGGGCUCCUCCGCCUCCAUCUCCGCUCUCCAUGCCGAACUCCGGCGACCUCCGCCCGGCCCCGCCUUCACCGGAGCCCCCGGAUGCGCUGGAGCCGUCUCACACUGCCGAAG
ensembl:lncRNA